rnacentral:rRNA from 1 species
AUUGAACGCUGGCGGCAGGCCUAACACAUGCAAGUCGAGCGGAUGAAGGGAGCUUGCUCCUGGAUUCAGCGGCGGACGGGUGAGUAAUGCCUAGGAAUCUGCCUGGUAGUGGGGGAUAACGUCCGGAAACGGGCGCUAAUACCGCAUACGUCCUGAGGGAGAAAGUGGGGGAUCUUCGGACCUCACGCUAUCAGAUGAGCCUAGGUCGGAUUAGCUAGUUGGUGGGGUAAAGGCCUACCAAGGCGACGAUCCGUAACUGGUCUGAGAGGAUGAUCAGUCACACUGGAACUGAGACACGGUCCAGACUCCUACGGGAGGCAGCAGUGGGGAAUAUUGGACCAUGGGCGAAAGCCUGAUCCAGGCAUGGCGCGUGUGUGAAGAAGGUCUUCGGAUUGUAAAGCACUUUAAGUUGGGAGGAAGGGCAGUAAGUUAAUACCUUGCUGUUUUGACGUUACCAACAGAAUAAGCACCGGCUAGCUUCGUG